ACAUAAUUAACAUAAACAUAAACAACGAAAAUGACGCUUCGAGGACAAGAAUUCAAGAAAUAAAGUUUACUUGGUCUUUUGUGAUGUUCCAAUUCCAUUUUUUUGAAAGUGACUCAUCAUGUUAUAGUGUGAUGUUUUCUGAAUGACUUUAUGUGAUAGUGUGAACGUUUUCUGACUGGCAGAAGGAUAUUCAGUUUUCUUUUUGCCCCACCUUGUCAGUCUGGUGGUAAAAAGAAGAGAUAGAACCACAUUUAUGUGUAAACACUGACAGAGGAAAAAAAGGACUAGUUUAUUAUGAAUACUGUAGUAGAUUAUUCCCACCGCCUGAAUUAUUCCAUCCCUCUAUGAAAAACUCAAAACGAGAUUGCGCUUUCGGGUUAUAACUGUUAGAAGUGUACCUAAAACGUCCGUACUACUUUUGUAAACAUAAACAAAGAGAAAAAAACGUUUAGAUGACAAGAAUUUUAGAAAUAAAGUUUACAUAAA
rnacentral:lncRNA from 1 species